rnacentral:rRNA from 1 species
UCGAACGGCAGCGCGGGGCAACCUGGCGGCGAGUGGCGAACGGGUGAGUAAUAUAUCGGAACGUACCCAGAAGUGGGGGAUAACGUAGCGAAAGUUACGCUAAUACCGCAUACGAUCUACGGAUGAAAGUGGGGGACCUUCGGGCCUCAUGCUUUUGGAGCGGCCGAUAUCUGAUUAGCUAGUUGGUAGGGUAAAGGCCUACCAAGGCGACGAUCAGUAGCUGGACUGAGAGGACGACCAGCCACACUGGGACUGAGACACGGCCCAGACUCCUACGGGAGGCAGCAGUGGGGAAUUUUGGACAAUGGGCGCAAGCCUGAUCCAGCAAUGCCGCGUGAGUGAAGAAGGCCUUCGGGUUGUAAAGCUCUUUUGUCUGGGAAGAAACGGCUCUAGCUAAUAUCUGGGGCUAAUGACGGUCCCUGAAGAAUAAGCACCGGCUAACUACGUGCCAGCAGCCGCGGUAAUACGUAGGGUGCAAGCGUUA